UCAAGCUACAAAGGGCGCAUGGUGAAUGCCUUGGCAUCAGGAGCCGAUGAAGGACGUGAUAAGCUGCGAUAAGCUUCGGGUAGGCGCACAUAGCCUGAGAUCCGAAGAUCUCCGAAUGAGGAAACUCACAUGGGAAACCCCAUGUAUCAUUAAGUGAAUACAUAGCUUAAUGAAGGUAACCCAGGGAACUGAAACAUCUAAGUACCUGGAGGAAGAGAAAGAAAAAUCGAUUUUCUUAGUAGCGGCGAGCGAAAGGGAAAGAGCCCAAACCGGAAACUUGUUUCCGGGGUUGUGGACAUAACAUAAAAGUGGAGGCUAUUGUAACUGAAGAGAACUGGAAAGUUCCACCGUAGAAGGUAAUAGUCCUGUAAGUGAAACGAGAAGACCACGAGUUAUGAUCCAGAGUACCACGAGACACGUGAAACCUUGUGGGAAGCAGGGAGGACCACCUCCCAAGGCUAAAUACUACCUGAUGACCGAUAGUGAAGCAGUACCGUGAGGGAAAGGUGAAAAGAACCCCGGGAGGGGAGUGAAAUAGAACCUGAAACCGUGUGCCUACAACCGCUCAGAGCCCCUUAUGAGGGUGAUGAGGUGCUUUUUGUAGAACGAGUCAACGAGUUACGGUAUGUAGCAAGGUUAAGUACUUAAGGUACGGAGCCGAAGGGAAACCGAGUCUGAAUAGGGCGACUAGUUGCAUGCCGUAGACCCGAAACCGGGUGACCUAUCCAUGGCCAGGUUGAAGCGAGGGUAAAACCUCGUGGAGGACCGAACCACGUUGCUGUUGAAAAAGCAUGGGAUGAGCUGUGGAUAGCGGAGAAAUUCCAAUCGAACCCGGAGAUAGCUGGUUCUCUCCGAAAUAGCUUUAGGGCUAGCGUCGAGUAUGAGUAGUGGAGGUAGAGCACUGAAUGGGCUAGGGGGCAUAGCGCUUACCGAACCUUAUCAAACUCCGAAUGCCACAUACUUUGAGCUCGGCAGUCAGACUACGAAUGAUAAGAUCCGUGGUCAAAAGGGAAACAGCCCAGAUCGUCAGCUAAGGUCCCAAAGUGUAAGUUAAGUGGGAAAGGAUGUGAGAUUUCUAAGACAACUAGGAUGUUGGCUUAGAAGCAGCCAUUCAUUAAAAGAGUGCGUAAUAGCUCACUAGUCGAGAGAUCUUGCGCCGAAAAUGUAACGGGGCUAAACUUACCACCGAAGCUACGGGCUUGAACUUAGUUCAAGCGGUAGGAGAGCGUCGUAACCGGGCUGAAGUCGUACCGUAAGGAGCGGUGGACUGGUUACGAGUGAGAAUGUUGGCAUCAGUAGCGAGAUGUGGGUGAGAAUCCCACAGGCCGAAAACCUAAGGUUUCCUCAGGAAGGUUCGUCCGCUGAGGGUUAGUCGGGACCUAAGCCGAGGCCGAAAGGCGUAGGUGAUGGACAACUGGUUGAUAUUCCAGUACCACUACCAUCGUUAUUAUCGAUGGCGUGACGCAGGAGGAUAGUGUGUGCUAGCUAUUGGAUGCUAGUCUAAGCGUUUAGGCAGUGAGAGUAGGCAAAUCCGCUCUCAUAAUGCUGAGGCGUGAUGGGGAAGGUUCUACGGAACCGGAGUACAUGAUUCCACGCUGCCAAGAAAAGCGUCUAGAGAGAGAAGUAGUGCCCGUACCGCAAACCGACACAGGUAGGUGAGGAGAGAAUCCUAAGGCCGGCGGAAGAAUUACAGUUAAGGAACUCGGCAAAUUGACCCCGUAAGUUCGCGAGAAGGGGUGCCUACGAGAGUAGGCCGCAGAGAAUAGGCCCAAGCAACUGUUUAGCAAAAACACAGGUCUCUGCUAAAGCGUAAGCUGAUGUAUAGGGGCUGACGCCUGCCCGGUGCUGGAAGGUUAAGGGAACACUUAGCGCAAGCGAAGGUGUGAACUUAAGCCCCAGUAAACGGCGGCCGUAACUAUAACGGUCCUAAGGUAGCGAAAUUCCUUGUCAGGUAAGUUCUGACCCGCACGAAUGGCGUAAUGACUUGGGCACUGUCUCAACUGUAAAUCCGGCGAAGUUGUAGUGCGAGUGAAGAUGCUCGCUACCCGCGAUUGGAC
rnacentral:rRNA from 1 species